UGCUUGUGUAGGAUAGGUGGGAGGCUUUGAAGCGUGGACGCCAGUUCGCGUAGAGCCAACCUUGAAAUACCACCCUGGCAACUUUGAGGUUCUAACUCAGGUCCGUUAUCCGGAUCGAGGACAGUGUAUGGUGGGUAGUUUGACUGGGGCGGUCUCCUCCUAAAGAGUAACGGAGGAGUACGAAGGUGCGCUCAGACCGGUCGGAAAUCGGUCGUAGAGUAUAAAGGCAAAAGCGCGCUUGACUGCGAGACAGACACGUCGAGCAGGUACGAAAGUAGGUCUUAGUGAUCCGGUGGUUCUGUAUGGAAGGGCCAUCGCUCAACGGAUAAAAGGUACUCCGGGGAUAACAGGCUGAUACCGCCCAAGAGUUCAUAUCGACGGCGGUGUUUGGCACCUCGAUGUCGGCUCAUCACAUCCUGGGGCUGAAGCCGGUCCCAAGGGUAUGGCUGUUCGCCAUUUAAAGUGGUACGCGAGCUGGGUUUAGAACGUCGUGAGACAGUUCGGUCCCUAUCUGCCGUGGACGUUUGAGAUUUGAGAGGGGCUGCUCCUAGUACGAGAGGACCGGAGUGGACGAACCUCUGGUGUUCCGGUUGUCACGCCAGUGGCAUUGCCGGGUAGCUAUGUUCGGAAUAGAUAACCGCUGAAAGCAUCUAAGCGGGAAACUAGCCUCAAGAUGAGAUCUCACUGGGACCUUGAGUCCCCUGAAGGGCCGUCGAAGACUACGACGUUGAUAGGUUGGGUGUGUAAGCGCUGUGAGGCGUUGAGCUAACCAAUACUAAUUGCCCGUGAGGCUUGACCAUAUAACACCCAAGCAAUU
rnacentral:rRNA from 1 species